CCUACGGGAGGCAGCAGUGGGGAAUAUUGCACAAUGGGGGAAACCCUGAUGCAGCGACGCCGCGUGAGUGAAGAAGUAUUUCGGUACGUAAAGCUCUAUCAGCAGGGAAGAAAAUGACGGUACCUGACUAAGAAGCCCCGGCUAACUACGUGCCAGCAGCCGCGGUAAUACGUAGGGGGCAAGCGUUAUCCGGAUUUACUGGGUGUAAAGGGAGCGUAGACGGCAGCGCAAGUCUGGAGUGAAAUCCCAUGGCUUAACCAUGGAACUGCUUUGGAAACUGUGCAGCUAGAGUGCAGGAGAGGUAAGCGGAAUUCCUAGUGUAGCGGUGAAAUGCGUAGAGAUUAGGAGGAACACCAGUGGCGAAGGCGGCUUACUGGACUGUAACUGACGUUGAGGCUCGAAAGCGUGGGGAGCAAACAGGAUUAGAUACCCGAGUAGUC
rnacentral:rRNA from 1 species